rnacentral:rRNA from 1 species
GUAGGUGGCAAGCGUUGUCCGGAAUUAUUGGGCGUAAAGCGCGCGCAGGCGGUUCUUUAAGUCUGAUGUGAAAGCCCACGGCUCAACCGUGGAGGGUCAUUGGAAACUGGAGAACUUGAGUACAGAAGAGGAAAGCGGAAUUCCACGUGUAGCGGUGAAAUGCGUAGAGAUGUGGAGGAACACCAGUGGCGAAGGCGGCUUUCUGGUCUGUAACUGACGCUGAGGCGCGAAAGCGUGGGGAGCAAACAGGGAUUAGAUACCCUGGUAGUCCACGCCGUAAACGAUGAGUGCUAAGUGUUGGGGGGGUUUCCCGCCCCUUAGUGCUGCAGCUAACGCAUUAAGCACUCCGCCUGGGGAGUACGGCCGCAAGGCUG